rnacentral:rRNA from 1 species
GACGAACGCUGGCGGCGUGCUUAACACAUGCAAGUCGAACGAUGACGACCGAGCUUGCUCGGUCUGAUUAGUGGCGAACGGGUGAGUAACACGUGAGCAACCUGCCCUUCACUCUGGGAUAACCUCGGGAAAUCGGGGCUAAUACCGGAUAUGAGCUCCUGUCGCAUGGCGGGUGUUGGAAAGUUUUUCGGUGAAGGAUGGGCUCGCGGCCUAUCAGUUUGUUGGUGAGGUAGUGGCUCACCAAGGCGAUGACGGGUAGCCGGCCUGAGAGGGCGACCGGCCACACUGGGACUGAGACACGGCCCAGACUCCUACGGGAGGCAGCAGUGGGGAAUAUUGCACAAUGGGCGAAAGCCUGAUGCAGCGACGCCGCGUGAGGGAUGGCGGCCUUCGGGUUGUAAACCUCUUUCAGCAGGGAAGAAGCGAAAGUGACGGUACCUGCAGAAGAAGCGCCGGCUAACUACGUG